AUGGUUUGUGAUUACUAAACCACUAUACGUGAGUGAUUCCUUUGGUACCACCCUAAUCCCUGUAGUCUGAAUGAGAUAAAAAGUGUAGAAAGACACUGGGAAGGUCUCUUGUUACCUUUGCUACCUUGUGUGCGCCAUGUUGUUUCGCCUCUGUGAUACCUGUUUGCCAUCCCUGCCUUGGAGCCAGCCGAUUAUGGACUGAAACCUCUACAAAUUGUGAGCAAAUAAAUCCUUUCUCCUUUAACUUUGGGUGUUGGGUAUUUUGUCUCAGCAAUGAGAGACAAGUAACUAAGACAGCUCAUGUGCUUUAACAUCUUCUAAUUGGCAGGUUGAAAGACUUUUUACAGCACUGAAAAAGUGAGCAAAACUAGAGCACUUAUUUUUUUUAACUAAUAGCGGAACAUACCUGAUAAAGUGCCUUUUAAAAUUAAUUUGUGAAAGUAAACAAAUUGCUCACCUAUAAUGUUGUACAGUGCAGUAAAUAUUUUGUUUUUCUUAAAUUGACAGUAUUGAGGCAUUAUAAUGACUUCUGACAUCAACUACCUAGAGUUAGGCUGAUUUGUGCCUUCCGCAAAACUGCCUUUACUUUAGAUUCCAGCCACAAGUUUUGGAGUUCCCAGGGAUGUCUUCAACAGAUCAGAAGUUUAGGGAUUCCCUUGACCUCAUCUGGUUUGAUAAUUGCAAAAAUGGCUCUGUGAAUUUAGGAUUAUGACAUACUUACAAUUACAGUGUAAUUAUAUCAAAAGGAUACAAAUAAAAACAUAUGGGAUGAAGUCUAUGAGGGUCCCAAAUGUGAAAUUUCCAUAAACCCCACAUAUGUGUUACCUUCCAGCCUUUUAAUGUGAGGAAAUAUUAGAAUGUUCCUAGUUGAAAACUACUCUGAGCUUUGAUGCUCAGAGAUUUUAUUGGAGUUCAUUAUAUAGCAGAAUAGAUUACAAUGCUGGUCAUAAAGUUGAAAUCAAUCUCCAGCAUGGCUUUUGUGCCUGGGCUGAUAUCUCAAGGCUCAAAAUCCUAGUACUUGAAUCACAUGGUUUGUCUGGGCAUGGACAGCUCCCAACUUGAAUAUUCUCCUUAUUAUAAGCUAUCCAGGGCCACUAUCAGAGAUAUUAGUAGCUUAAAGCAUCAGGGACCACCAUAGAUAACACAACAGUCCUAGUACUUGGAAAACUCCAAAGAGUUAAGAGUCUACCAUUUUGGAACUGAGUUAAUUAUGAAUAGCAGGGGGGAACAGCUUCCUCUAAGAACAGAGAGGAACAAUUUCAGAAAGAAUAAGAUCUAUUGGCUCAGAUGUCAGGCCGACAUCUGAGUUUGUGUCAAUAAUCCUCUUAGAAUGUGGAACCAAGAAGUUGCUUGAUCAGCCACAAAUGGUAAGGUGAAUGCAAUAUACAUAAAUGUUUGCUCACUUUGACUAGUUUAUGAUUGACUUGAAAACACAUGAAUUUUCUCUUUGAUGAUGGGCGCAUACACCACAGUUCUCGGAAAACUUCUAAUCUUGGAUCCUCUUUUCAUUUCCUUCCUAUUUUGUUCCCUUGCCAUAUGAGUUCCCAUUUUUAUUAUAUUUUCAUAAAUGUAGCAUGGUUAAAGGCUGCUGUUCUCACUGUGCAGGUCUUGGGAGUUGGACCUCUGUUUGUGACUGAGUGGCUUCACACUGUGGUUUCUCAUGACAUUUCUCUCAGGGAUACUUGUCUGCUUAUUGUGAAUGAUGUCAUCUCGUUGAAUGAUCGAGCAAUUUACCAACAUCUUUGUUCCUUCUUUAUAAUGUAUUUUAAGGCAGAUCUAUAGCAUAUUUUCUGAGAAAGCAGGAAAUCUCUUCUCAACAUGGCUUCAGAAAAGACUCAUGCUGAAGCAAGGUUCAAAAAUGAAUCCAUGUCCUCAGGCACUGAUUCAGACUCUCCAGAAGAUCCCAAAGAGAAGACUAUCUCUCACAAAAGUAAUCCUGGUAUUCCCAAGCUGCUUCUAGCCUCACUGCUGAUACUGUUUUUGCUGAAGGCAGUCUUAUCAUCUGUCCCUUCUAUCAUUUUAUAUGAAAAAUAUUCCCAGCAUCUUGAAGAAAAAAUGACUGUAAAAGGACUGGUUCAUACAGAAUUGGGAGUGUGUAAAAAACAAUUCGACCACACAAAGUAAAACUUAAUGUAUCUGGAACUGCACUGCUGACUACAGUAUGUCAGGAUCCCACAACAGUAUUUCCAAGUAGAAUCUCAGGAAGAUCCUACUGAGAAAUGGAACCUCAUCAUCAUUUUAAGCUUCAAGUGUACAAAUAUGUAGGACAUAAAAUUCUUUUUUUGUGUGUGUUAAAUUCUUUUAUUGGUACAUUGUAGGUAUACAACACAAUUACAUUUCUCAUUGGGAAUUGUACCUUUACAUAAUACAUCUUGGUUCUUAUUUUUUCCCCAUUCCUAGCCCUCCCUUCACGCCCUCCACCCUUCCCUAUUUACAAAGAUUUUAUUUCCAUUUCUCAUCAUUUUUCCUUUCCCUUCUUUAGGACAUAAAAUUCUUAUAUGUGUACCUUAAUUUGUCUAUGCAAGGCUUGAGAAUGGUCAAAGUUAUAUUGCUUUUGGAUUUCUUCAGCCUUUCCUUCUGAGUGUCCUGUGCUCACUGCUUUCUUUCACAUCUCAGUUAAAACCAUUUGAUGAAAAUGAUGUUGGUGACUACUUUAUGACAAAUGUGAAUUAUUUAAAAAUUUAAAUGAACAUAUUAUUAAGAAUAUUUUUAUAUUUACAAAAAUUAAGCAGAUAAUCUGAAAAGAUAAUAUUCAAAAUCCGCCGUGGGCACAUAAGAUAUACUGCCCUCUACUACUAACAUUUUACAUAAGCAGGGGAAUUAAUUCCAACUAAUGAACACACUAUCAGUGCAGUUCAUGAUUAUACUUGUUUUCUUAUUUUUCACCUAAAUAUUCUUUUUCUGUUUGAGAAUUCCUUCUAAGAUUUCUGUCACCUUCCUUUUAGUUGCCAUUUUAGUCUCCUUUUGACUGUAAUAGUUUUAUAGAUUUUCCUUGUUUCUGAUGACCCUGAUAAUUACGUGCAAUAUUGGUUCCCAUGUUUAAGUAUAUCUCUGUUAGAGUUUGAUGUUUUUUAUGAUUAGAUUGGGAUUGCUGUUUUUGGCAGGAAAGGAGCAGGUGUAAAGUGCUAUUUUCAUCACAUACUCUAGAGGUAUAUAUUAUUAUAGUGAUUUCUUCCCUUUUGGUGUUGACAUUUAUCAUUUGGAUAAGGUAGUUUUAUUCGGGUUUGUCCACUGUUAAGCUUCUUUUCCCCUCCUCUCUUCACAGUACACUAUAGUUGCUAUACACUUUUGGAGAGUUUGUUCCCUACCCUUCAGAAUAGAGUAUUAUAUUCAUGAGGGUUCUCAGAGAAACAGAACCAAGUGAAUAUGUAGAUAGACAUUAUUUUUAAAUAAAUACCUCAUGCAAUUUUAGAUGUGCAAAAAAGUUCAAAUCUGGACGCCCUACCAAGGUCCCGAGUCACGCGGAACACACCGAAUCAGCCCGCUGCAGACAGGCAGCCACCUGGUUCCACACUACGAAGACGCAGAGGACACCAGACCACCAGACCACGGUACUGAGCCACCGUCCCACUGCUCCUGG